GUCUACGGCCAUGCCACCCUGAACAAACCCCGUGCCUGAUCUCGGAAGCUAAGCAGGGUUGAGCCUGGUUAGUACUUGGAUGGGAGACUACCUAGGAAGACCAGGUGCUGUAGGCA
rnacentral:rRNA from 1 species